AUUGAACGCUGGCGGCAUGCUUUACACAUGCAAGUCGAACGGUAACAGGGAGCUUGCUCCGCUUACGAGUGGCGAACGGGUGAGUAAUAUAUCGGAACGUACCCAAGUGUGUGUGCUAACGUAGCGAAAGUUACGCUAAUACCGCAUACGAUCUAAGGAUGAAAGCAGGGGACCUUCGGGCCUUGUGCUCCUGCAGCGGCCGAUAUCUGAUUAGCUAGUUGGUGAGGUAAAGGCUCACCAAGGCGACGAUCAGUAGCUGGUCUGAGAGGACGACCAGCCACACUGGAACUGAGACACGGUCCAGACUCCUACGGGAGGCAGUAGUGGGGAAUAUUGGACAAUGGGCGCAAGCCUGAUCCAGCAAUGCCGCGUGAGUGAAGAAGGCCUUCGGGUUGUAAAGCUCUUUUGUCAGGGAAGAAACGGGAUUGGCUAAUAUCCAGUCCUAAUGACGGUACCUGAAGAAUAAGCACCGGCUAACUACGUG
rnacentral:rRNA from 1 species